rnacentral:misc_RNA from 1 species
UUAAGUUCAGCGGGUAGUCCUACCUGAUUUGAGGUCAGAUUUAAAAGGUCUUGUCUCCGAGAGACGACUGUAAGCCCAAAAAUCAACCACGACCACCGACUACGAGCGAGGUUUUUCAACUUAUCACACCGUUCGUCUUGUGGGACACCGCGGUAGAGAAACGAGCUAAUGUAUUUCAAGACGAGCCGUCCAUCUGUUAC